AUGAAUAUUACCUAGGUUUGUUCAUUAAUAUUACUUAUGUUUGUUCAUUAAUAUUACCUAGGUUUGUUCAUUAAUAUUACCUAGGUUUGUUCAUUAAUAUUACCUAGGUUUGUUCAGGAAUAUUACCUAGGUUUGUUCAGGAAUAUUACCUAGGUUUGUUCCUUUUUAAUAAUUUUUUUAAAUAUCCACAUUUUUCCAUUUAUCUUAUUUGUUUCUUGCAAAGCUGUUUGGUAAAGCUCUGUUUCUGACUUAGAUACAGUUGCUCUCAAAAUCUUGGACACUGAGAUUUCAUCCUUUGCAUUUUUCCCUUUAGAUUUUUCAUUGCCCCUAAUGGGUUGGUUAAAGUCCCUCUCAAUUUCUUUGCCUUCUGCCAUUUCAAAAAUAUGUAUUGAAAGUAUCUUUUAUUUUCUGUAGUCUUAACUGAUCCUUUGUGGUAUUGUUUGUUCUUUUCUCUUUCUAUUUUCUAUAGAAAGAUUAAGGGAAUAAAAAAAUAAAUCAAUCUUUCAAGUAACAUCUUCCAGAACCACAUGGACUUUUUCUUAGUUCACUCCAGAAUAUGUGUUAAGUGAUGCUUUACUUCAAACACGAUUUGCUCAGGAUUUUCCAGCUUGCUUUUGCACUUGUAGAUUUAAUAUUUCCCCUCACUGCUUGUGUUUACACUGAACAUUUAUUUUCAUUUUUGGGUUAUUGUUGUGUUCAGCUCAGUCUUAUCUCACCGGGUGGAAGUCAAAUAGUCUGUAAUUGGUUGCACAUUUUGCUAUCAUAGUCUAUUAGUUCCUGCCAAUUAGCUUGUUGUGUUGUUGAUAAGAUUAUUGCUAUCUGCACGCUGCAGUGAUUGUGCUUGCUGAGGGAUAUUCAUGCAGCGGUGCUGACGAAUGCAGGAGUUUGACAAUUGACAGAAAUAUUUCCUUAAUCAGCCUCCUCUUCCCUUACACCAGUCUGUUGCACAAGGCAAGAUUUUAUUUGUCUUUACUGUCAUUUUUAAUCCCCACAUUCCUGCCCUGUUGAACAGCUGCCCUUUUCACUGGGAGAUGUUUCUGCACACAGCAGGAUGGUUUCUGUUUCUCACCACAUUGCAUCGUGUCUCUUCUGGAAGAGGAAUCACAGGAAAACCAUCUUCCCUGGGUUUCAAGAAUCACUGGUUUGAGGAGUGGAGCUGUUUCAUUUGGACCAUCCUGUUUAAUUGCUGUGGAAGAGGAGCAGCUCUGUGUGGAUUUGCCUGGUUCCUUUCCAAAUGAAAUUCUGUGGCAUCUGUUCCUGAAAUGAGGAGUUGCUGCAUGUUCAAUCACUCCCUGAUGAAUGAAUUCCUUACCUCUGCCUGCCUUUCUUCCAUUCCCUGUUUCUGCUGUGGGAAGUCUGGUGCUGUGUGGAUUUACCACAGAUUCACGUGGUGACACCACAGUGUUUGCUGGCUCUUUCCUGUUGUUCCCCUCCUAGCUCCUCAGACUGCCUGUACACGUUUUGCUGCCUCUUUGCACACCUCACACAAGGACACUGACCCCAAAAGUGUUAUUUUUUACCUGUUCUCUCUUGCCUCAGAUACUGAUCAACAGAUGUAAUAAAAAUAUUUUAAAACCUUG